UAAUUUAAGUUUUAUUUAUUUUUUUAUAAAAAUAUUAUAUGUAAAUUUUUGUGUGAUUUAAAAAAAAAAUUUAAAAAAUUUAAUUAUAUUAAUUUACAAUAAAUAAUUUUAUUAUUUAAAGAAAUUUAGAGAUAGUUAUUUAUAUAAAAUAUUAAUAAAAUUUGUGCCAGCAAUUGCGGUUAAACAGAUAAUAUAAAAAAUAAUUAUUUAAAUUUAAUUUUAUUUAAUUGUUAAUUUUAAUAUAAGACUUUAUUAAGUGAAAUUUUAAAGUUUUUAUAAUAAUAAUAAAUAAAUAAUUUUAAAAAAUUUAUUUUAUAAACUAGGAUUAGAUACCCUAUUAUUAUAAAUGUAAAAAAAAAUUUUGAUUAGUAAGAGUUAAGUUCUUGAAAAUUAAAAAAUUUGGCGGUAUUUUAGUCAGUUUAGAGGAACCUGUUUUAUAACUGAUAAUCCACGAUUAAUUAAACUUAAAUUAUAGUUUAUAUAUCGUCGUUUUUAAUUAUUUUAAAAGAAUUAAUAAUUAAUAUUUUUUAUUAAAUAAUAUAUCAGAUCGAGAUGUAGCUUAUAUUUAAGUAAUAAUGGGUUACAAUAAAAAUAUUUAUGGAAUAAUUAAUGAAAUUUAAUUAAAAAAAUGGAUUUAAAAGUAAUUUUAUUUAUUUAUUUAAAAUGAUUUUUAGCUCUAAAAUAUGUACAUAUUGCCCGUCGCUUUUACUUUAAGGUAAAAUAAGUCGUAACAAAGUAGAUUUACUGGAAAGUGAAUCUAGAAGAAC
rnacentral:ncRNA from 1 species